AAGUCCGUAUUUGAUGCUGAAAUCUGAAAGUACAGGAUGGCUUCGGCCAGAAUGAGUGAAUGUAAACAGACUUCCAAGAAAAUCCGCUAAGCAUAUUUUGCAGCUGCCCGUACCGCAAACCGACACAGGUAGUCGAGAAGAAUAUUCUAAGGUGCUCGAGAGAUUCAUGGCUAAGGAACUCGGCAAAAUAAACCUGUAACUUCGGGAGAAGGGUUGCCUCCUCUAGCAAUAGAGAGGUCGCAGAGAAAUGGCCCAGGCGACUGUUUAACAAAAACACAUGGCUAUGCGAAAUCGCAAGAUGAAGUAUAUGGCCUGACACCUGCCCGGUGCUGGAAGGUUAAGGGGGGAAGUUAGCAGCAAUGCGACGCUUUGAACUGAAGCCCCAGUAAACGGCGGCCGUAACUAUAACGGUCCUAAGGUAGCGAAAUUCCUUGUCGGGUAAGUUCCGACCUGCACGAAUGGUGUAACGAUCUGGGCGCUGUCUCAGCCAUGGGCUCGGUGAAAUUGUAGUAACGGUGAAGAUGCCGUUUACCCGUCACGGGACGGAAAGACCCCAUGAACCUUUACUAUAGCUUCACAUUGAUAUUGGGAAGAUGAUGUUAGGAUAGGCGGGAGGCAAUGAUCUGGUGGCGCUAGCUAUCAGGGAGUCAACGGUGAAAUACCGCCCUUUAUUUUUCCGAUAUCUAACCACCGCAAGGUGGGACAUUGUGUGGUGGGUAGUUUGACUGGGGUGGUCGCCUCCGAAAGUGUAUCGGAGGCUUUCAAAGGUAUGCUCAGUACGCUUGGUAACCGUACGUGGAGUGCAUUAGCAUAAGCAUGCUUGACUGUGAGACAGACAAGUCGAUCAGGCGCGAAAGCGGGAUAAAGUGAUCCGGUGGUUCUGCAUGGAAGGGCCAUCGCUCAAAGGAUAAAAGGUACUCUGGAUAACAGGCUGAUCUCCCCCAAGAGCUCAUAUCGACGGGGAGGUUUGUCACCUCGAUGUCGGCUCGUCACAUCCUGGGGCUGGAGAAGGUCCCAAGGGUUGGGCUGUUCGCCCAUUAAAGUGGCACGCGAGCUGGGUUCAGAACGUCGUGAGACAGUUCGGUCCCUAUCUGUGAUGGGCGCAGGAAGUUUGAGAGGCUCUGACCUUAGUACGAGAGGACCGGGUUGGAGCAACCGCUGGUGUACCGGUUGUCAUGUCAGUGGCACUGCCGGGUAGCUAUGUUGCGACGGAAUAAGCGCUAAAAGCAUCUAAGCGCGAAAUCCACCUCGAGAUGAGACUUCCUUAUAAGGGCCGUCGUAGACUACGACGUUGAUAGGCUGCAGGUGUAAAGUCAGAAAUGGCAAAGCCGAGCAGUACUAAUUACCG
rnacentral:rRNA from 1 species